GCAAACAAAAACUUCUAAAUUUAUAUUCACGGCAGAUUCAAAUUCGCCAUGUUGAACAUAGAGUGGGAACACACCAUUCACAAUGACUUGAAUGGUGAUUAGAGAGCAAAGUCACCAAGAGUCCAUUUAAUACUCCUUGUCGAAUGUUUUCCACUUCUUCCGAGUCAUAAAGCCAGACGCUCUUUGUCUGGUCUCGUGCUUUACAAACAUGAAUGUGGCCAUGUGUCAAUCAUGUGUGACUGACAGCUGGUUGCCGUGAGUAACUGGGAAAUGUAGGAAGGAGUUUGCUGUCCGCAUUAAUAGACGUCUUCAUGCAGAACAGCACAAAAGCAGCAGGAAGAGGCUAAUUGGACAUAGACAUGUGGUUCAUAAUAAUGACACAAGUUGCUUUUUGUGUCACGUCAAUGAAUGAAAUCAACAAAGGCUAAACUUGACUUAAAGGUCUCCUUUGGGGAAAAAUACUUUUUGUGGUCACCAUUAAGGCACAAAUGUUCAUUUGGGACCACUGGAGUGCCGAGCUUGCUGGAGUUCUUAACUUUUUGUCAAUACUCUGGUUUAAUUGGAAUGAUUGGAUUUGUCCUAAUUAAACUGAACUUUUCAGAUGUUAAGUAGGACUAAAAGCCUACAAAAUUGUUUACUCCCAUGUUGGUCACAGAAAUCGGAAAAUCGAUAAGUAAUUCAUUUAAAGUCAAUGGAAAAUUACUGAUUGAGAAUCAUACAUUCGAUUUGACUUGUGGUUCAAUAGAAAUAUAUAUUUUUUUUUAAAAGACAAUUUCAUGAAAUAAGGCAUGGUCAGAAAAACUUUUUUUUUUUUUUUUACUCCUAGAAAAAACUGAUUCUGACCUUAGGAACAAGGUGUGACCUCUAAGGAGCAUCACAGGUGUCUUCAAAUUUAUAAUCAAUCAGUGGGCCUGUGACUUCUGGACCAGGCAGAGCAAAGAAGAAAGUUGCAACACCCUUCCGUCUUUGUGCCAAGAGGAGAAGUCCAAAGUCUGAGGCGACUGGGGAAGCAGAAAAUGAUGUCCAUUCAAACGUAAGGAUGAAGAAUGUGAGACAGUGGUGCCCAGGCAUCAAAAGAACUCAAGUGGAAGAAUCUCGGCAGGUGGCUGGACUCUGAAGAUGUAGGUCGUUUAUUUGUCCUGCAUUCCGACGAGGAGCGCUAGGAGGAUUAAAGAACUCGGGUGACAGAAAUCCUCCGCUUAAGUAAACACACACACACCGCAGAGCAGGGGAAUCAAUUAGCGCGUUUGUCCGCCUGCAUGGCUUCCAAUCUGGCGACCUUGACUGCUUCAGAGAAACAAUGGCUUCAUUCUGCUUAAGAUCACACAAGUUGGACUCUUUCAUAUCUGCUUGCCCCCCCCCCCUCCCAACUAGAACAGACGUGAACUCUCAUAUUUUUUACAGCGUGAAAGCAGAUGUGGAAAACAACCCGGCCUCCUCCUCCGUUCACCAAGAAACCAUCUGCAAACGAGUAAACGGCCAACUUUCUGUAACCACGACGACUCUCCUCCGCUUGACUGCUCGUGUUUGUUUUCGGAACGCCUCGGCCCGGCGUCGAGGCUAUGGCUACGCUCGGCAAAACAAAUGCCACUCGGCCUCGUGAGAGAAGGAGAAAUGAAAGGAAACAACUCAAUCACAAGAACUGGCCGACCACGCCAUUAGAUGUCCACAUACCACACAAGCUGCACAACCAAAAUCACAAGGCAGAGAGGUCAAAACUGCUGGUCCAACAGAAAACAGCGCAAUGUGCAUGCCAGGCCAGUAGCUGGCACUGUUUUCUUUUUACAAUUUUCCAAAUAAGUAUUUUUUUACUCGCCAUGUUGUCAUCUCUAUGUGAAACCAAAUAGUUGACUUGAUUUGUUGAGGUAUUUGCUCAUAAUUUUAAAGUUCUGCAAAAUCUUCCAGAGCCUUAUAAUAAUUUAAAAUAUAAUUUAAGAAUCAAUCUCUGCCUUUUGAUGAACUCUUAAGGCUCUUUGCAAGUCAAAAUAUAUAUUUUUUGCUAUGUAUUAAACAGAAGAAUUUAGCUCGAGACAAAAUGCAGACAUCUCAGCAUAGAUCUGCUCAUAAUAAUGUCACCAGAGCUCCGAUCUGUGCCGUUCCAGAAUGUGCACGGCGAGCACUCUUUCUAGAAAUGUCAUGCUCUUUACCUUCCUACUGAAGCGCAGUGUUUAUACUACACGCUCAGGGGAGGUACUUGGAGACACACUUUAUGACUUACAAAAGGAGUGGCAAACCCUAAAGCCUCAAUUUGGGGGCUGGGGGCGUCGAAAGGAAAAGAAGUUCCCCUCUGGUGAGCAUGCCGAGGCUCGUGUCGUUUUGCUUCUAGAAUUCUUCAGGUGUCAUGAUGACUUGUAAAGGUGCUGUCAGUGAAAAAUGACACCAUAGUAAGCAGAAAAAAGAAGACACUGCAGACUAUACAUUACCAUUAAUUCUACCCCAAAAUCGGUAAGGACAUUACAUAAUCAAAGUUGUACAUUUACGAGAAAAGGGGGAAAGAACUAUGUUUAGUACUAUAAUUAUAUUGCUUAAACACAGACUUGUCUAAAUGAAAUAUUUUUGCAAGCCACAAUAUUUAAGCCAAAACCAUUAAAGAGCCCUUCAACUGCAAUUUUCUGAGCAUAAAGUGUAGCCAAUUAAUCCUUCUUAAAAAAUGGAUAACUUCCCGUAAAUGCCAAGGCCAUAAGUAGCAUAAAAUACAGUACAGCUGAGUGCAGUAAAGUCAUUCAGUGAAACAUAAUCAACGAGAUUCGACCACAUUCCACAUUUGUGACGGGAAUAGAUUUGACCCCUGCAGGCUUGCGUUUUGCUACUGAACUCUCAUAAAAUAAAAAAACCUCUAUAGCCAAGCAAAUCGGACAAAAGAUGCUGGCUGAUGCGUUAAGAGUACCUCGGUGUCCGCAGCACUUUCGGUCGACCCUCAUGAUUAAGCGGCGGGGGGCUUCACUCGACAGGCUGGCCCCCCCGCAGCAUCUUGUUCUACGUACAGCCACCCCACCUCACCUCACCUCACCACCACCUCCGAAAAACUUAAUUAAAUUGCUGAGGCAGCGAGUCAGGAAUGUUUGCUUUCCUCUCUCUCAGCCCGACUGUCUCUGCGCGUUCUUUGCAUUUCUCAGCCUUCUGUUUCUUCUUCUUCGGCAAUCCUUGUCAUAACAGGAAGACUUUUGGUUUUAUGAAACGGAGUUCCAUUCAUGAAGGUUCUUGACAUCACUUUUGCAUGAAAUGUGGUCUUCUUGUUGCUGCCACCGAAGAACCAACCAAGAAUAUGAAAUGAUAUCCAAGUAAGCAUGUGUGACGGUGCGUGGAUGUAAAACGCUUACCUUUUACGAUGAAGUUGAAAUAAAUAAACCAAUCCCUGCGGGAUACACGCCCGACUCCAAACUUUGCAUCCAAACUUUGCGCGUAAACACAACGGCGUUGCGCGUCCUUCCACGCGGCAAAUCUCCACGACGCGCCAGUCUUCGUGUUUACUCUUUGACUUUCCUCAUCCAAACUGCGAAAUUUUCGCCUUCACUCUACACACAGGGAAACACUUGGAGGAGGAGGUGCACAGAGGAACCGCGAGGCGGAGACUAUACCUGCGUGGGAGUCGGGAACUACGAAUUUUUGAGAUGUCCUACUUUGUGAGCGGUCAUUGAAUACAGCUUGGAUCGACCGACAACUGUCCCGAUUAUUUCAACAAGUGAGUCCAGGCAUCUUGAGCUUCAUCCAGAAACUUAGCAGCUGCUCAGGGGAUGCCAGGAUGGAGGUGGCCGUAGGGCAGCGCGUGGCUAGCCACUCCAUGAUGACCAUGGUCUUGAUGGUCAGGUUGAGGUAGGUGUCCCUGAAGUCACUCUGGAUCAGAUCGCCGUGCAGCUCGCUCUCCUGCC